rnacentral:rRNA from 1 species
GACGAACGCUGGCGGCGUGCUUAACACAUGCAAGUCGAACGGACAGGCCCUGCUUUUGUGGGGUGCUCGAGUGGCGAACGGGGGAGUAACACGUGAGUAACCUGCCCUUGUCUUUGGGAUAACUUCAGGAAACUGGGGCUAAUAUCGGAUAGGAUCUCCUGCUGCAUGGUGGGGGUUGGAAAGAUUCGGCGGUUGGGGCUGGACUCGCGGCUUAUCCGCUUGUUGGGGGGGUAGUGGAUGUCCAAGCUUUUGACGGGUAGCCGGCCUGGGAGGGUGACCGGCCACAAUGGGACUGAGAGACGGACCAGACUGGUACGGGAGGCAGCGGUGGGGAACAUUGCGGAGUGGGCGGACGUGUGAUGCAGCGACGCCGCGUGCGUGAUGAUGGCCUUCGGGUUGUAAACCGCUUUCGACUGUGACGAAGCGUGAGUGACGGUAAUGGGUAAGGAAGCACCGGCUAACUACGUG